CAAGAAGGGAACGCGAUGGAUGGCGAGUUUCGCCGUUGAUUGGCCCAUUUGCCGGUAUCCUCAAAUUGACUGGUGAGCCAUGAAGUCGGUCGGACCGGGGGGGCUGGGAAGCGGCUUCAAUUCGAAAGCAAUGCCCCCCCGCCCCCUGCCCGUACCUCGGGGGAACUUUGUGAGGCAGCUAUCUCUUUCGAGACCGGGGGUUGACUCCUAUCGUAUGGGGUAAUGUAACACCAAGGCGACGAUCCGUAACUGGUCUGAGAGGAUGAUCAGUCACACUGGAACUGAGACACGGUCCAGACUCCUACGGGAGGCAGCAGUGGGGAAUAUUGGACAAUGGGCGAAAGCCUGAUCCAGCCAUGCCGCGUGUGUGAAGAAGGUCUUCGGAUUGUAAAGCACUUUAAGUUGGGAGGAAGGGCAGUAAGUUAAUACCUUGCUGUUUUGACGUUACCGACAGAAUAAGCACCGGCUAACUCUGUGCCAGCAGCCGCGGUAAUACAGAGGGUGCAAGCGUUAAUCGGAAUUACUGGGCGUAAAGCGCGCGUAGGUGGUUUGUUAAGUUGGAUGUGAAAGCCCCGGGCUCAACCUGGGAACUGCAUCCAAAACUGGCAAGCUAGAGUACGGUAGAGGGUGGUGGAAUUUCCUGUGUAGCGGUGAAAUGCGUAGAUAUAGGAAGGAACACCAGUGGCGAAGGCGACCACCUGGACUGAUACUGACACUGAGGUGCGAAAGCGUGGGGAGCAAACAGGAUUAGAUACCCUGGUAGUCCACGCCGUAAACGAUGUCAACUAGCCGUUGGAAUCCUUGAGAUGUUAGUGGCGCAGCUCACGCAUUAAGUUGACCGCCUGGGGAGUACGGCCGCACCGCUUAGGACUCAAAUGAGUUGACUGGGGCCCGCACAAGCAGUGGAGCAUGGUGGGUUUAAUUCGAAGCAACACGAAAAACCUUACCACGCCUUGACAUGCAGACAACUUUCCAGAAGAUGAAUAGUGCCUUCGUGUACUCUGACACAGUGCAGCAAGGGCUGUCGUGACUCUGUCGUGCCAUGUCGGUAAGUCGCGUUACUACCCAAACCAAUGUCUACCUACCGACGAGUAUGGUGGGCAUCGGUCGUCACUGCUAGGUAACUAUCCGCGAGGACGCCGGAUGAGAUAGAGUGAGAAUUGCUACGUCGAGGCUCAUCGAUCCAGCAGUACGUCAAGUGCUGACCAAAGUCACUCACCCCAGAUCGAGAUACUCUCACUCGUAUGAC
rnacentral:rRNA from 1 species